rnacentral:rRNA from 1 species
GCCUGUUUAUCAAAAACAUGGCUCUUUGUAAAAAAUAAAUAGAGAGUCGGACCUGCCCGGUGAUAAUUUUUAACGGCCGCGGUACCCUGACCGUGCAAAGGUAGCAUAAUCAUUUGCCUUGUAAUUUAAGGCUAGUAUGAAGGGUUUGACAAGAAUAUAACUGUCUCCUUUUGGUUUAAUAGAAUUUUACUUGUAAGUGAAGAGGCUUACGUUUAAUUAAUAGACAAGAAGACCCUAUCGAGCUUUAAAGCAAUUAGUAGAAGAAUAAAUAUAAUGUUAAAAUUACAUCUACUAAAAAUUUUGGUUGGGGCGACUAAGGAACAAAUAAAGCUUCCUUAAUAAAUUUAACAUACAUGUAAAGAUCCAGAAAAUUCUGAUUAAAGGAAAUAGUUACCGUAGGGAUAACAGCAUUAUCUUUUUUGAGAGCUCUUAUCGAAAAAAAGGUUUGUGACCUCGAUGUUGGACCAGAAUAUCCCAAAGGUGCAGUAGCCUUUAAAGGUUGGUCUGUUCGACCAUUAAAAUUCUACGUGAUCUGAGUUCA